CUUGAGUGUCUGAGGAACAAAAUAAAAAAAGAAAGGUCACCUUUAGGCAACUUGACGUCCAGGAAAUUAAGAGAAAGUUUGGUGCUGGAGGAAACAGAAUUGUGGACCAUGUGCCUCUGGAGGAACCACCUGGACAUCAGAGAGAAAAUAAGUGCAGAUUGGAAAACGCAGUCCAGAUGCUUUCUGGGAAUUAUCCAACACAAGAGGUUUGCAAUAUUUUUGUGAAUGAGAUACGGAAUUAUAUUCUCUAUUGUUUAAACAAGGUAUGUGUUGGUUUUUAACAGUGCAAAUUGACAUUUUUUUUCCCUUACACACUUCUCAUUUACAUAGGAACCAUCCAACUCAUUUCCGGUCAUCAGCCUCCACGAUGCAGACUCCCCUCCUUGCCAGGAGAGCAUCCAUUAUGAUGGAUGGCAUCACCAUUAUAAGCGGCGAGAUGGAUGUGGCACACGCCAUUCAAUGUCUGCUGGAGAUGUACUUCGUCAUUGGUGUGGAGUACCCCCGGCAGAUCAAGCAUACCCUUAGCUUUUCAGAGCAUUAUCUUUUCAAAAUACAAAGUUAAAAAAAAGUGUCCAUCCCUGUUCUGAAAUUAUAUAACCAGAUUAGUUCAUCACUGUUACUGUUGAGUUUUUAAAUAAAAAAAUACAGUCCAUUUUUGAA